rnacentral:misc_RNA from 1 species
UGUGCCGUAUGCUCGAAACCAAUCGUACCCGAGGAAGGUCAAGAAGAGUCAAUACGAAUUGUUGCAAUGGAUAAAAGUUUUCAUGUUAAUUGCUAUCGAUGUGAAGAUUGCAACAUGCAACUGAAUUCUAAAAUUGAAGGACAAGGAUGCUAUCCGUUGGAUCAACACUUGUACUGUAAAAAUUGU